AUUCUGGGACCUCGGUGAUACAUGGUGAUAUUCAAAUUACCCUUCCUCUCCCCAACAAAUAUCACAUGUAUUUUUAGUUAUGAGAAAAAUUGUUGUUUUGAACCUUACUCAAUCAAGCUUCUAGCGAGGUGAUCAUGGCACGCUAGGCUAGAUAGUGUACUUAUAUUAUGAAGUCGACUCUAGACAAAGAAAGAAUUCUACUGAGCUCGAUCCUGAAAAGUAAAGGAAACUAGCCUGGGCCCCUUCUGCAAAACGAGUACCUCCUACACGAAGGACUGAAAAUAGAAGGACCGAAAGGAUUGGGAAGAAGAAGAAUGCAGAUAGAAAAAAUACAGGGAACUGAAAGUCAAAGCACAGACACAGAAAUUUGUGUAUAAAAUGGGAAAAAGGCUUUAGUUGAGGAUUUGUGCAGAUAUUUGGAUUACUUAAAACGGCUAAACCGAUUUGGCCAGUCUUAGUCUUGAAAAAUUUGUGCCAAUCCAGAGGUGGUCGGAAAGAAGUGUACCCCUAUUUAUAACCUAUGCGGUAAGGGCGAAAGGAAACGAAAAAAAAAAACGAACGAACAAUAUUAACUAAUAACAUACGUCAUUUUCGAGCAUUGUGAUUGGUCGCAGAACAACAUUCUACAAAUUUGUUAAUAUACUCGAAUUAAUAUAUGAAAUUUAUUUCCUCAGUAACAAGGACGAAAUAUACGAGAGAAGUUUAUCAGCAGCAAAAAUAUUUAUUUUAGGAGGGCCCCGAGAGAAAUUUUCCGAAAAAGAAAUUGA